CACUCGACCCCGUCGGUGCACGUCACGCACGCCUUUCACGCGUUUUUCGUUCCUCUCUCUCUCUCCUCUCUCUCUCUCUCUCUCUCUCUCUAGAAUUGCUAGCAACACAUGAUGUCAUGACACCACCACCACCACUGCUCGUCUUCUUCCCUCUCUCCUUCGCCUACAUCCCAAUCUCUCUCGCUUCUUAAAUCGCUGCCCCCCCCGCGGCGAAAGCUGCAGCGACUGAUAUCGCCGGAGAACACGGCGGAUCUGGGAGGGAAUUGCAGCUCGCAUUUGGGUUUGGAUUGCCCGGGUCUGGAAUUCGAGUGUGGCGGCAAAGAUCGGAGCUUUGCAAUUUUUUAAUUUGGGAUUUUUGUUUUUGCUGUGAGAAAUUAGGGAUCUUGAUGCAAUUUUUGGAGGGAAUCUUCGAGCGCGAGAGUUUUGGAGCAAAUCUUUGAGGAAUGUGGUGAGCAUUUUGGCUCCGUUUUGGGAAAUCGGGUUCUCGGAUCUUUGCUGUUUUCUAUAAAUAGCGGGAGCUCAAAAAAGGAAAGCCAUUUUUUUGGAUCCGGUAUCGGCCAAGACGCACCGUUUUGGGCCACUGCGUUGAUGUUUGUAGGGGGAGGAAGAGAGAGAAUAUACAGAGAUUGAUGUGCAAGGUGGAGAAGAAGGAGAGGAAGGGAGUGAUGGGAAUUAAGGUACUGGGAGGCGGCGGAGGAGGGGAAAAGUUAAAGAACUCGAUGCUGGUCACGGCGGCGUCGUCGCCGUCGAGGUCGAAAAUGAAGCUGUGGAUGAUACGUGCGACGACGUCGAUUUUGUUGUGGACGUGCAUCGUGCAAUUAAUGGCGUUGGGGGAUAUGUGGGGGCCUAGGGUUUUGAAAGGCUGGCCUGCUUGUUUCUCUCAGGAGUCCGCCGCCGCCUCCUCCGUCUUGCAAGACCCAUUGCCUUCUCUUCCGGUCAGAGCUCUUCCGCCCAAGAGAGUUUAUAAAAACAAUGGUUACCUUAUGGUCUCAUGCAAUGGGGGACUCAAUCAAAUGAGAGCAGCGAUAUGUGACAUGGUUGCUAUCGCAAGAUAUUUGAACGUCACUCUUAUAGUCCCUGAACUUGACAAAACCUCCUUUUGGGCUGAUCCCAGUGAAUUCAAAGACAUAUUUGAUGUGGAUCAUUUCAUCACAUCCUUGAGAGAUGAGGUUCGCAUAUUGAAAGAGCUGCCUCCCCGGGUAAAGAGGAGGGUGGAGCUAGGAAUGUUUUAUACCAUGCCACCAAUUAGUUGGUCUGACAUGUCUUAUUAUCGUAAUCAGAUUCUUCCUCUGAUACAAAAAUACAAAGUUGUACAUCUAAAUAGAACUGACGCUCGACUUGCCAAUAAUGGACAACCUUUGGAGAUUCAGAAACUUCGCUGCCGAGUAAAUUUUAGUGCUCUGAGAUUCACUUCUCAGAUAGAGGAGUUGGGUAGAAGGGUUAUCAGGCUUCUAAGGAAAAAUGGUCCAUUCCUUGUACUUCAUCUUAGAUAUGAAAUGGACAUGUUGGCAUUUUCUGGUUGUACUCAAGGUUGUAACAUCGAGGAGGUGGAAGAGUUGACAAGAAUGAGAUAUGCUUAUCCCUGGUGGAAAGAGAAAAUAAUAAAUUCCGACCUGAAAAGGAAAGAUGGUUUGUGUCCUUUGACACCUGAAGAAACUGCUCUUACAUUGAGUGCCCUUGACAUUGACCGCGAUAUUCAGAUUUAUAUUGCAGCUGGUGAAAUCUAUGGUGCAGAGAGGAGAAUGGCAAGUCUUGGAAAGGCUUUUCCAAAAUUGGUCAGAAAGGAGACACUGUUGGAACCAUCAGACCUUAGGUUCUUUCAAAACCACUCAUCCCAAAUGGCGGCAUUGGAUUAUCUUGUCUCAUUGGAGAGUGAUAUUUUCGUUCCCACAUAUGAUGGAAACAUGGCUAAAGUUGUUGAGGGCCAUCGCAGGUUUCUUGGGUUCAAGAAGACGAUUCUACUGGACAGAAAGCUUCUUGUUGAUCUGAUAGACCAGUACACUAGUGGGUCAUUGGGUUGGGAUGAAUUUUCAUCUGCAGUAAAGGAAGCUCAUGCAAAUCGCAUGGGGAACCCAACUAAUAGGUUGAUGAUUCAAGACCGACCUAAAGAAGAGGACUAUUUCUAUGCCAACCCGGAAGAGUGUUUGCAACCAUCAGAUGAUGAACUAAGUAGUACGUGAUACAUAAUGUUAGACGACUUCUGACACUCAUCCGUGUUCUACAGCGCUGGCUACUUUCCCACACAGAUCUAUUAGAAAAAAAUUGUCUACAUAACGAGCGUUUUGUCCUGAGGAGGCGAUGGAGAUUGUCCAAGUGGAAGUAAUCUUCAAGAAGAGCCCGAGGGGAUGCACGUAUGGUACGAGCUGUAGUACAUCUUUUAUCUUUUGUAUAAGCCGAAAUAAUCCAUCCAAAUCAUGUAUAGAAGCUACCCUGCCAUUCAGGGGUGGGAACGAAAUUAAACUGCACUCUGUGUGGGGAGGGAAGAUCAUAUAUAGCUUUGGUUUUUUACUGGAACUGCGAAAAAUCAUCAAGAGAUCGUUCUCACUUUCCCCCGUUUUGCAACACCGGUCACCGGUCUCGGUCCAACUCGGAGAGAACGGCCAGGCCGGCCGGGAUCCGAUGAUUGUGCAUUUUUACACAAAUACUCCAUUAAUUUAUUUUGUUCCAUAAGUGUUUGGUUUACUUGGAGAUCAAGGUUCCAAUUCCAUGUAGAUCUCAUACGACAAUGACAGGUCAAACAUGUUGCCCUAACCA